rnacentral:rRNA from 1 species
AUGUUAUGCACCAAACAGGUAGAUGACUUUUGGUCCUGGGCACACGAAAAUAAUGGAGUUUUUACUAUCCAGGCUGCUUACGGUAUGCUCGUGCCUACAGAACUACGACGAGAGGGCUGGCUAGACGGGCGCCCCGACUCGUCGAACUCUGAAGGUGAGGAGAAAGCCUGGUCUAAGUUGUGGCAGUUCGACGUCCCAUCCAAAUUCAAAAAAUUUCUAUGGCGUCUCGCGCAACAAUCAAUUCUGACGGCUGAUUUGCUGCAUCAUCGGAACAUGUCCAAGGUGACUAGCUGCGGCAUCUGCGGCGUGGAGGAUGCAUGGUAG